rnacentral:rRNA from 1 species
CCUACGGGUGGCAGCAGUGGGGAAUAUUGCACAAUGGGGGAAACCCUGAUGCAGCGACGCCGCGUGGAGGAAGAAGGUCUUCGGAUUGUAAACUCCUGUUGUUGGGGAAGAUAAUGACGGUACCCAACAAGGAAGUGACGGCUAACUACGUGCCAGCAGCCGCGGUAAAACGUAGGUCACAAGCGUUGUCCGGAAUUACUGGGUGUAAAGGGAGCGCAGGCGGGAAGACAAGUUGGAAGUGAAAUCUAUGGGCUCAACCCAUAAACUGCUUUCAAAACUGUUUUUCUUGAGUAGUGCAGAGGUAGGCGGAAUUCCCGGUGUAGCGGUGGAAUGCGUAGAUAUCGGGAGGAACACCAGUGGCGAAGGCGGCCUACUGGGCACCAACUGACGCUGAGGCUCGAAAGUGUGGGUAGCAAACAGGAUUAGAUACCCUUGUAGUC